UUUCAUUUUUUUUUGAAGUUACUAUAUAUAUAGUACUCCAUAUACUAGUGGGGCUCAUAAGUGACAUGUAAAGCGAAAAAGGUAACCACAUUUUCAGCGCAAAUUAUAAACCUCUGCUUUUUAGUACAGUAUUUUUUAAAUAUUUGAAUGUGGAAGAUUUUGGGGUUAACAUAUAUUGAUAUAUAUAAAGCAAUACAAGCCUAACUAAAGAU
rnacentral:lncRNA from 1 species